CCUACGGGAGGGCAGCAGUGGGGAAGUUUUGGUACAAUGGGCGGCAAGCCUGAUCCAGCCAUGCCGCGUGUGGGAAGAGGGCCUUCGGGUUGUAAACCACUUUUGUCAGGGAAGAAACGGCUCUUACUAAUAUUAGGAGCUAAUGACGGUACCUGAAGAAUAAGCACCGGCUAACUACGUGCCAGCAGCCGCGGUAAUACGUAGGGUGCAAGCGUUAAUCGGAAUUACUGGGCGUAAAGCGUGCGCAGGCGGCUUCGCAAGACAGAUGUGAAAUCCCCGGGCUCAACCUGGGAACUGCAUUUGUGACUGCAUGGCUAGAGUACGGUAGAGGGGGAUGGAAUUCCGCGUGUAGCAGUGAAAUGCGUAGAUAUGCGGAGGAACACCGAUGGCGAAGGCAAUCCCCUGGACCUGUACUGACGCUCAUGCACGAAAGCGUGGGGAGCAAACAGGAUUAGAUACCCUGGUAGUCCACGCCCUAAACGAUGUCAACUGGUUGUUGGACGGCUUGCUGUUCAGUAACGAAGCUAACGCGUGAAGUUGACCGCCUGGGGAUACGGCCGCAAGGUUGAAAACUCAAAUGAAUUGACCGGNUGAGACAGCGAGGACGACGACGAGGGAGAGG
rnacentral:rRNA from 1 species